CUACGGGGGGCAGCAGUGAGGAAUAUUGCACAAUGGGGGGAACCCUGAUGCAGCAACGCCGCGUGGAGGAUGACGCAUUUCGGUGUGUAAACUCCUUUUAUAUGUCAAGAAAAUGACGGUAGCAUAUGAAUAAGCACCGGCUAACUCCGUGCCAGCAGCCGCGGUAAUACGGAGGGUGCAAGCGUUACUCGGAAUCACUGGGCGUAAAGGACGCGUAGGCGGGUUGGAAAGUCAGGUGUGAAAUCCUACAGCUUAACUGUAGAACUACACUUGAAACUUCUAAUCUAGAGUAUGGGAGGGGGAGAUGGAAUUAGUGGUGUAGGGGUAAAAUCCGUAGAUAUCACUAGGAAUACCUAAAGCGAAGGCGAUCUCCUGGAACAUUACUGACGCUAAGGCGUGGAAGCGUGGGGAGCAAACAGGAUUAGAUACCCUUGUAGUC
rnacentral:rRNA from 1 species